UACGUAGGGGGCUAGCGUUGUCCGGAAUCAUUGGGCGUAAAGCGCGUGUAGGCGGCCCGGUAAGUCCGCUGUGAAAGUCCAGGGCUCAACCCUGGGAUGCCGGUGGAUACUGUCGGGCUCGAGUCCGGAAGAGGCGAGUGGAAUUCCUGGUGUAGCGGUGAAAUGCGCAGAUAUCAGGAGAACACCAUAGCGGAAGGCAGCUCUCUGGGACGGUACUGACGGCUGAGACGCGAAAGCGUGGGGAGCGAACAGG
rnacentral:rRNA from 1 species